GCCAGUGGAGUACUCCUUCUAAGCUAAAUAUCACCAUGAGACCGAUAGCAAACAAGUACCGUGAGGGAAAGUUGAAAAGCACUCUGAAUAGAGAGUCAAACAGUACGUGAAACUGCCUAGGGAUGCAAACCCGUUGAACUCAAUUGACCGGGGCGGCGAUAUUCACCGGCGCGUCGCCAACACCCAAUCCUCCGGGUGGGGGAAGGCCACCGGGCAUUUAUCUUUCCCACCGAAGGGACUUCCCGUUCCUUUACAAAGUUGCAUCCGGGGCGCAACCCCCAAACCAAAUCCAACGAAAGGUCCCGGGCCCGCUUUGCCAACCUUCCAUUAGGACCGUUAACUUUUAAAGGCCGGCCCUCCACCCGGGGGCCCUCAAGGCUCCGGUUUCUAAUUCAACCGGCCUGGGUGAACCGCCGAAACCUGGAGGGGCUCCCCCGGACCACGGCAGGACGGUACCGAAGCCCUUCAGGGGCAUUGAACGGGCACCCCCCCAAGGGCAACCGCUUUCCGAAUCGGCAAUGGGACCAUUGAUGAGUACCUCCGGGACCCGUCUUGAACAGGAAGGAAAAUUCCAAAAGUGCUUAGAAUCAUGUUAUCUAAGAGAAAGAGUGAUUAUUCUGUCAAUAAUGUAUGAUGCCUCCUAGUGACACACAUGAAUACAAUCUCGUGAUAUCAGUUCUGCUUAGUACGAACAGAUAGACACCGACGAGACAUCUCGUCUCUGCCUAACUGUCAUAUGCCCUCAUCAGCAUGU
rnacentral:rRNA from 1 species